rnacentral:rRNA from 1 species
AGUGAACGCUGGCGGUAGGCCUAACACAUGCAAGUCGAACGGCAGCACAGUAAGAGCUUGCUCUUACGGGUGGCGAGUGGCGGACGGGUGAGGAAUACAUCGGAAUCUACUUUUUCGUGGGGGAUAACGUAGGGAAACUUACGCUAAUACCGCAUACGACCUACGGGUGAAAGCAGGGGAUCUUCGGACCUUGCGCGAGUGAAUGAGCCGAUGUCGGAUUAGCUAGUUGGCGGGGUAAAGGCCCACCAAGGCGACGAUCCGUAGCUGGUCUGAGAGGAUGAUCAGCCACACUGGAACUGAGACACGGUCCAGACUCCUACGGGAGGCAGCAGUGGGGAAUAUUGGACAAAGGGCGCAAGCCUGAUCCAGCCAUACCGCGUGGGUGAAGAAGGCCUUCGGGUUGUAAAGCCCUUUUGUUGGGAAAGAAAAGCAGCAGGUUAAUACCCCGCUGUUCUGACGGUACCCAAAGAAUAAGCACCGGCUAACUUCGUG